UACGUAGGGGGCAAGCGUUGCUCGGAAUCACUGGGCGUAAAGGGUGCGUAGGCGGGUCUUUAAGUCAGGGGUGAAAUCCUGGAGCUCAACUCCAGAACUGCCUUUGAUACUGAAGAUCUUGAGUUCGGGAGAGGUGAGUGGAACUGCGAGUGUAGAGGUGAAAUUCGUAGAUAUUCGCAAGAACACCAGUGGCGAAGGCGGCUCACUGGCCCGAUACUGACGCUGAGGCACGAAAGCGCGGGGAGCGAACGGG
rnacentral:rRNA from 1 species